CUUCCUUCUUCCGCUGGCUAAGAUCAAAGUUUAGUAUCUGUUUUUAUCAGCGUAAUAUCUGCUACGUCCUCCAUCGUAGGACUAGGAUAUUAAACUCAUUUUUGGCUCAUGACGGAGUGCUAGGGGCUUUGCUCCACUUCUGUUGGGGGUUGGCCCGGCAUUGCAGAACUCCCGGGAUCGGCCCACGUAAA